UGUUCCUAUUGGUGUAUCUAUUUUGCUUUUUUCUGGUUUCUUUCCCUUGUAGAGAGGAUUAUAAAUGGGCCAGAGAUAAUUAUCUUUAGGAAAUUUCUCUGGUAACCCAAUAGGUGAUUAAGUCAGGGCUGUUUUUUUAAAACAUCUACUCCCUGCCACCCUCCAAUCAGGGUUAUCUUUUACCAACUCCAAGAAUCGCAUCAGACUCCAAAUAUCUCUGUCAUUCUGUAGCAUAUGUUGAGAAUUGGCCUAGACUAUGCCUGGGCCUAUAGAGCUAAAAAGGCUUUAAUAAUUGCAUCGUUUUGAUAUCUUAACAUUUGAUGAAGGUCUCUGCAACCAACUUGGCUAGAUUCAGCAUGCAGCACUCCAAUUCAGAGGCUGCAUUUAGACACAGCCUGUGAAUCCAAAGUAACAUGAGCAAAGUUCUAGUCACGCCAUAGUUUGUGGCUGCCAAAAUGUGGACACGGAAGCAGUUAUUUUAAAACUUGAUAAGCAACACAGCAUUUUGCAGAACUAUGGAAUAAAAGGAAUAUUGUGAGUUGCCCAACUGGGAAAGCAUUUGCAAGAUUAUCGACAUCCUGAUCAUUGAAUGCUCCUUACCUGAUCACAGGAUGUAUAAGAUAGCAAUUGAGUGCUUAGAAAAGUAGUGGCCACUACCACCACAGCUUCCACUUCCUGGCAGCCUCUUCCUGAGGACACUAGUGAGCACUGAGGAAAAUGUGGAGUCCAGAGCUGCCAGCACAGGUUGUCAAGUGCACCUGCCUCCUGAAGAUAGCUUCUCUUGUGUUUCAGGGGUUUCAACAAAGAAAUAGUGGCUACUCCUUUUCAAAAAUGGAAAGCAAGAGCAUAGAUAAUGAGAAUGCUCCUCACAGCCUGCCUGCUCCUCAGAAGUCAGAUACUGAACAUUUUGUUAUGUUAACUAAAAUGGGACAAGAGAGGAAAAAAAUGAAACUUCUCUUGGCAACUUGUGAUCAGGGAGGUGGUGUCAUGGCAAGAGCCCCAGGAUGCCCUGACUUUGUCACCUGUAUGACUUGGAAUAAACUUCUUGGCUUCUUAGGAUCUCAUGUUCAAAAUGAAUUAUGAAAUCUUCCCUAUAUGGGAUCUUGUGAAAAUAAUUUGAGGCUGGGUGUGGUGGCUCAUGCCUGUAAUCCCAGCACUUUGGGAGGUCAAGGUGGGUGGAUCAUCUGAGGUUAGGACUUUGAGGCCAGCCCGCACAUGGUGAAACUUUGUCUCUAUUAAAAAUACAAAAAUUAGCUGGAAAUAAUUGUGCACACCUGUAAUCCCUGCUGCUUGCUACUUGGGAGGCUGAGGCAGGAGAAUUGCUUGAACCUGGGAGGCAUAGGUUGCAGUGAACUGAAAUCAACAGAGCAAGACGCAAAAAAAAAAAAAAAAAAAAAAAAAAAAAAAAAAAAAAAAAAAAAAAAAAAAAAAAGUGAAGUAACUUGUAGUAAAGUAAUUGUGUAUAAAUCAAAUACUUGAAUUAUUUAUUUUAUGCUAAAGACAUAACACAUUCUAAUAACUUAAAGUUAUAUUUUUAUUGCUUUGUUUUGUUUUUCUUUAAACAACUACUUCUUGUAGACCAAGUUUCUGCUUUGGUCCUCUCAAGUUCUUCUAGGUUUAUAUUCGAACAUAAGUACAUGGGUUCUCAUGGUUAGGUCCUGGCUACUGGCCUCCUCUGACACGGAUAACUUUGUAUGCUGCCUGCUAUGAGCUGAAUUGUGUUCUCUCAGAUUUUGUGUGUUUAAGUUCUAAUCCCUAGUCCUUCAGAAUGUUACUGCUUUUGUAUUUGGAGAUAGGGUCUUUAAAGUGGUAGUUGAGGUUUCAUAAGAUCAUUGGAGGGGGCUAAUCCAAUCUGACUGGCAUCUUAUAAGAAGAGGAGAUUAGGACACAAACACAGAAUAAAAGACCACGUGAAGACA
rnacentral:lncRNA from 13 species